rfam:Octopus bimaculoides Scaffold61076_contig_18, whole genome shotgun sequence.
GUAUGUGGCUGUGCAUAUUUUAGAAUUGGAAUGAUACAGAGAACAUUAGCAUGGCCCCUGUGCAAGGAUGACAUGCAAAUUUAUGAAGCACCUCAUAUUUUU